rnacentral:rRNA from 1 species
AUGGCUCAGGAUGAACGCUGGCGGCGUGCUUAACACAUGCAAGUCGAACGGUGAACACGGAGCUUGCUCUGUGGGAUCAGUGGCGAACGGGUGAGUAACACGUGAGCAACCUGCCCCUGACUCUGGGAUAAGCGCUGGAAACGGCGUCUAAUACUGGAUAUGUGACGUGACCGCAUGGUCUGCGUCUGGAAAGAUUUUUCGGUUGGGGAUGGGCUCGCGGCCUAUCAGCUUGUUGGUGAGGUAAUGGCUCACCAAGGCGUCGACGGGUAGCCGGCCUGAGAGGGUGACCGGCCACACUGGGACUGAGACACGGCCCAGACUCCUACGGGAGGCAGCAGUGGGGAAUAUUGCACAAUGGGCGCAAGCCUGAUGCAGCAACGCCGCGUGAGGGAUGACGGCCUUCGGGUUGUAAACCUCUUUUAGCAGGGAAGAAGCGAAAGUGACGGUACCUGCAGAAAAAGCGCCGGCUAACUACGUGCCAGCAGCCGCGGUAAUACGUAGGGCGCAAGCGUUAUCCGGAAUUAUUGGGCGUAAAGAGCUCGUAGGCGGUUUGUCGCGUCUGCUGUGAAAUCCGGAGGCUCAACCUCCGGCCUGCAGUGGGUACGGGCAGACUAGAGUGCGGUAGGGGAGAUUGGAAUUCCUGGUGUAGCGGUGGAAUGCGCAGAUAUCAGGAGGAACACCGAUGGCGAAGGCAGAUCUCUGGGCCGUAACUGACGCUGAGGAGCGAAAGGGUGGGGAGCAAACAGGCUUAGAUACCCUGGUAGUCCAC